CUGCUGCAGCCACCACUUCCUCCUACUAUGGAAGGGACAGGAGCCCACUGCGUCGUGCUGCAGCCAUGCUCCCCACAGUUGGAGAGGGCUACGGUUAUGGGCCAGAGAGUGAGUUAUCUCAGGCUUCCACCGCUACACGGAAUUCUCUGUAUGACAUGGCCCGGUAUGAACGGGAGCAGUAUGUGGACCGAGCCCGGUACUCAGCCUUUUAAAAACUGGAGGUGUGAACCUCAAAUGGACUGAAUAACCCUGAGUUGGUUGCAGUCCCAGGAGCCUGAUGUUAAUGAGGCUGCCAGGAUGAAAUACUCCAGAACUGUUGGGGAUCCAAAUUCGGGUCUCACCCUAGCAGAACUGAUCCAAGAACGUCACAACUUUUGAAGUCGAUUGGCACAGAUCAAGACCAAGAUUUGGCCCUUUGUCUGUAAUAAGUAGAGGAACUUGGUGUGAGUUAAGUUUUUUUUUCCCCCAGCCAUUGGUGUCUGGAGUUCCCAUCAUCAAUAGAAGGAUUAGAGAAUUCUAGGAAUGAUUUCUUUUGAUUUGGCAAGGGAGAUUUGGUCAAUUAGGGGAACUACUGGAACUGUGGCUCUCUGUGACAGUGUGACAUGUAGGUGUGUUGGAAUUGGGUGAAUGACUGGCUACUCCUUGAUAUCCUACCCCUUGUGACCAUCAUUUCUGAAAGCUUGUUUACUGUGAAAGAUUAAAACAAAACACAUUUAGAAUAGUGCAAUUCGCCAUAUAUGACAUCUCAGCAUCUUCUGCUUUUCCUGGACUCCAAAAUUAAAUUGCAGUUCUUGAAAAUGUAUGU
rnacentral:sRNA from 1 species